CCGGACUGCUCGGGGUUAAGCUGGGCAUUGGUCAGCGAGUGUGAUUCUAAGAAGUAAAUGAUAUUUAGAAGCUUCUGAGAUAAAGACAGUAUGUUGUCAUCUGUGUGAACCACAAUCUCCUUUUCAAAAUCGGAAAAACAACAACAACAAAAAAACACCCAACAAUUACUUCCUCACAAUGUUUCUGUAAGCAUAAAUUUCAAGAUUUGUGAGUACGGUGAUACAAGCCUCGUUGCAAAGGAUUACCCUAGCCAAGCUGCAAAACUUCAGUGCUACCUAUCACAGAUGGAAGACUGAUGCCAACAUAACCUUUACAUCUGGGAAACUGAGAUAAUGUGAAAUAUAAAAGGACUGGCUAGUGCAAGGGGUCCAGACUCCAAACAUUACUGGAUUAUGGAAAUACCUUAUCUACAAUGCCUGAUCUCUUUUCUAAACUUAGGAGCCAGGUUCCUGAACUAAGGUAUUUAUUUAGCUUUUUGUUUUCUUAAUUAAUAAAAAAAUAAAGAGAGAAAAAAGAAUAAAGAAUAAAUUAAAAAAAAAAAAAAAAAAGAAAGAGAGAGAGAGAGAAGAACUUCAGAAAUAGAAGUGAUGCUGCAAGCCCAGUCUUCCUUCUAUUCUGGGUAUGUUAUUGUUAUGCUUAGGCUCUUGUUUCAUGUAGGAAAACCUGGGGAUAUUGUACCUUAAAUCUGCUAUAUUUCUUUUUAAACAGGGCAGGAAAUGCACCCAGUAGUACCACUACUCAAAUUCUGCUGCUGGGAAUGAUGUUCUGCACCUUGAACUGUGGAAAUGGUGAUAACUAACCCUUUUAUUCUACUGCUGAUAUAAUUUAGUUAGUCUGACUGUUUACUGAAAUGAUUUCUGUGAACAUUAUGAACCGUUAUCCUGGAGCUAGUAACAUUUCGUGCACCUGUAUCUGCUCUUUGGAUUCCUGUUAGGCACACAUAUCCCUUUGAAUCUCUUUAUAUAAACACAUGUGUAUGAAAAUCAUAAUUGUUUUACAGAUACAUGUUUGCCCUCAUCAAAAUUUGAGUCCUAUGCUGGUGUGAAUCUGGCAUGUUGCAUCCUUUUGUGUGAGCCUGGGAGCACUGGUUAAUCUAACACAGACUCAUGCAGGAAGCUGUGGCCAGAAGUUGCUCUAGAGUACUGCUUCUGCAGAAAUCUAUGUUCUUACUAAUGCAAAAUUCAGAGAAGUAACUUAGGAAAAUUGAAGAAAGCCACUAACACUAACAGACAGAAAGCAGUCACAGUGACACACAAACACUUCUUUUUCACUGCAAGGAUUUCCUACUGAUAGCCUUCUCCCAUGCAGAAUGACUCUAUCAUUACAUUAGCAGAAAUUUUGCCAUAAAGAACCUACUCACCUAAUUUAAAUACAGUAUAAUUUACUUUAUUUUUAUUUGAGCCUCAGAUUACCCUAGAAGCAUAAAAUAUCUCAGAAACAUGUUGUUUAUUUGUGUUUAAGCUUAUAGAACAGUGUAGCCCGUUAGCACAUAUAUAGAGUAGAUCUAUCAAAUGAGAAAUAGACAUAAGGCCCAUUAAUGAUAAUGUGAGCUCUGUGCAUGAAAGUGUGAAACAAAACACUUUUGCUUGCUUUUGGAAGUAUUUUUUUUCUAUAUUAAGUGAAAAGCCUCUAAAACAAUAGGAAUGCUUAAGCCCAGCUCUCUAAAUAUGUAGUCAAACCAAUAUAAAUAUGAUUUUGUUUAAAAGAAUACAUUUGGGCUGACAACCAGUGAGCUGUGGCUCAGCGAUAAACCUUGGCAAAUGGGGUUUAUAAUGGAAACACUGACAGAUUCCCUGCCCUCACAGCACUAUCGUUAUCUAUUGCAUUGCACAUUAAACACACGUAUCACCUGAUAAAUACAUAGCAUGUUAAAUCUGAUAAAACUUUUACUGAAUCAAACAGACAAGGAGUUGAACAUGAUAAACAAGCUCCUUUAUCUGAUCCAUCAGUUUCAGAAACAGAUAAGUAAACAACUGAACAUGAUACAGUAUAUCACUGUCAUGUGAUUAAGGUCACCCCUUGGGAAUUGCCAUCCUCAGAGCAAAAGCUGUGAUUUAAAAAUCUAUCCAUGAGGUUUUAUGUAUAUAUUUUUACUUAAGAUAACAAACUUUAAUAAGUAAACUUUGUGAAUUGACUAAUUUUCAGCUAACAUUGAAAAUAUAAGGAGACUCCUGCAUUAGCAGUACUCAAAAGAGCAUGCAUGUACUCACCUCUUUCAAAAUAGACAAUUCCUUUAUACAGAACUAUUUAUUCAUUUUAGCAUAUAUGUUAAUUUUUAGUUAUUUAUUUAUUUCAAGGAUAUCCCAGAAAACGGAAGCUAGCUAGACCAGGAAUUAAUUUGGCCAAAAGACAGAUCUUCAUAGGAUGGAGUGAAAAUUAUUUCAUUAAACUUAUGACAGCAUGGUUGUUCCUGGUGGAAGAAGCUAUUUUAUGGGUUCAGUUCUGCAGGAGUGUGGAAAGCUGCAGUAAGAGAUGAGUAGAUCUGCCGGCAGGAUACUGAGGAGGAUAUGUUGUUAAAUGUGAUAGGAAGGUGAGCAGAUUAGGUACUGCAGUUUGGUUUGCAAUAGAGAAUAGUGUGCUGAUUACAUGUCAUGUGAGGCUAAACUGUUGGAUGUGAGAGUUAAUAUUUCAUGGAAACCAUGGAAGCCUGUUCUGUGUGUAGCCAAGUUUCAUGUAUUUCUGUGCUUUUUUUUUUUUUUUUUUCUGAAUGCAUUUCUCAAGUACACUUGAAUAAGCCACUGGUUUUACCUGGUACCAGGAUCAAAUGAAAAUACUUUACCUAGCUGCUGUGCAUAUCAGUUCUGCACAUUGGAUUGUACUUUAAGUACCUGUGUUCUAGCCAUACUCUUUUUUUCUGCAUAUCACAGUCACCAUCUCCCUCGGUCAUUGAUGUUCAGAGCUGAUUAACUGCAAUUUUGGAGCAUGGCAGCCAGACUCCAGGACAUCCAGAAUCAUGCCUCUGUCUCUGGUGAGCAACUGGUCCCCAGAGCAAGGUGAAAAAAUCAUCUGCAUGGAUCAUUACAGAUGGAACUAACCACAGGGAGAAUGUCUGAUUUUCUUACAUGUCAUUUAAUGCCUUGAUAUAUAUUUUCAUAUCUAUUUUUAUCAUUAGAUAUUUUGUUAAUAAUCCUAUACCUAUUGAGUCCUGGUAAACUGUCACUUCAAUUCUCUCAGAAAAGUGAGAAAAAAUAUGAAAAAAAAAAAAUGCAUAUUUCUUUUCCUGUAUGAAUGUGUGCCCCUAAAUUUCUU